UUAUAUAUAUGAAUUUAAGCAUAUUAUAAUGGUAGUAUUUCAAAUUAUUAGGGAAAAGAUGGGAUGUACUGAAAGUCUGUAUCGUAUGAUAGUUGUGAUCGUUGGUCCUGGGACCAGACUGCCUGGUGUGAGUCCUGGCUCUGCCUUUUCUCAGCUUUGUGACCUUAUGCAGGUCAUUUAAUAUCUUGAGAUGUUAUCUCAGUUUCCUUUUGUGCUAAAUGGGAAAGGAAAACCAGUACCUACCUCAAAAAGUUAUGGUGAGGGUUAAAUAAAUUAAUAUAGGUGAAAGCUUAGAAUAGAUCUUGGCCCUAAGCACUAGUAAACAUGAACCAUUAUUAUUAGUAUUGAAAUACAGAGUCUAAACAGUUGUCUGACUAUUUUGAAAAGCAACUUUAAGUGCUUGUUGAUUUUAUGAUACAGAUACAUUUUGACUUUCUAAAAUAAAUAGACAAUUUAAAACUUUGUUAUGAAGGUAGUAAAUGGUAAAAGAUUCCUUAAGAGGUAGUCUUAUAUUUUUUAUUUUAAUUUUUUUAAAGAUUUUAUUUAUUUGUUUGAGAGAGAGCAAGCACAGAGGGGAGAAUAAGAGGGAGAAGCAGAUUCCAUGCUGAGCAGAGAGCCGAUGUGCAGCUUGAUCCCAGGACCCUGAGAUCAUGACCUGAGCUGGACAGACACUUAAACAACUGAGCCAUCCAUAAAUAUACCAUAAUAUAUUUAAAAGAGAUAGCCUUGUAUACACAACAAAGAUUGUAAACUCAGUUGCUUAGUGGGACCAGUGGGUAAAUCAUGGAUGUAGACUAGGUGGUGAAUGUGGUGAGACCGAGACUUCAUAGCUCACAUAAAAGAGAAAACUGCUUUUCAACUCCACCUGAGUCUUGUCAUGCAGAAAUGUGAGUGCAUAUUUUUUCAAGAGAAUCUGAAAAUCUCAUGCAAAAUCUUGUUUCUAAAUCUUGAUUUGAAUUCAAAUUUUUAAACGUUGUGAGGGACAAACACACAAGAGGAUUUGCAGGUCAUAGUUGGCUUAUAUUGUUUGCCAUCUCAGACUGAGAAUCUUUAGGGUAGACCACCCUGUCUUUCUGCCAGCCUGUAUAUCUCCAGCGAAGCUCUUGCAGUGCUGUCUAGAUAAUAACAGCUUAAUACUUGUUUUUUGAUGAAUCAAUUUGAUUUUCUUCCUGAGUCUUUCUGAUGCUAAUCGAUACUUUGAAUCAUUAAUAAUAAUACCUCCAUUUGUUAGCCAUUUAUUUUAAAUUUAGGGUGCUCUUAGGGACUCCAUAUAUACUCCUCUGAUUGUUACACUAUUUCAUCAGGUUGUUUUCUCAUUUUAUAGAUAAAACUGGAAGGUUAAGUUACUUUUCUGAAAUAUAAGCCUUGUAGCCAGGAUGUGUAAUACCACAUGGUUUACGUCUGCCUUUUUGAGUGAAUUUAGAGUUCUAAAGAAGUAAUGAGAAGUUCAUAUCUCUCCAGGGCAUGACAUUACCCUGGCACCAGGGUUAGCUGGUGCUAACAGGGGGUGCUGACCACAUCUUGUUCAUCUAGAAAAACUUUUCCUAAGACCAUUCUAUUGGAUGACCUUGUCAAGCUUACCGCUUAGAAUGCAGAAAAUAUAGGAUGAAAGAAGUCUUCCACUUACAAAUGGGUAGCUUUCCAAAUGUUCAUUUGUAAAUCAGUUGUUUGGAACUCAGAAUUCAUUUCCCUGCAGAAACAGUUACAAAUGGCAGUUAUGU
rnacentral:lncRNA from 1 species